UACGGGGGGAGCAAGCGUUGUUCGGAUUUACUGGGCGUAAAGGGCGCGUAGGCGGCGCAACAAGUCACUUGUGAAAUCUUCAGGCUUAACCUGAAGCGGCCAAGUGAUACUGUCGUGCUAGAGUGCGGAAGGGGCAACUGGAAUUCUUGGUGUAGCGGUGAAAUGCGUAGAUAUCGAGAGGAACACCUGCGGCGAAGGCGGGUAGCUGGGCCGACACUGACGCUGAGGCGCGAAAGCCAGGGGAGCAAACAGG
rnacentral:rRNA from 1 species